rnacentral:rRNA from 1 species
UACGGAGGUGGCAAGCGUUGCUCGGAAUCACUGGGCUUAAAGGGCGCGUAGGCGGGCACGUAAGUCAGGGGUGAAAGCCCACGGCUCAACCGUGGAAGGGCCUUUGAUACUGCGUGUCUGGAGGGAGGUAGGGGCGUGCGGAACUUCCGGUGGAGCGGUGAAAUGCGUAGAUAUCGGAAGGAACACCGGUGGCGAAAGCGGCGCGCUGGACCUCUUCUGACGCUGAGGCGCGAAAGCCAGGGGAGCAAACGGG